GACGAACGCUGGCGGCGUGCCUAAUACAUGCAAGUGGGACGCAGUUGCGAACGGGUGAGUAACGCGUAGGUAACUGCCUCUUAGAGGGGGAUAACUAUUGGAAACGAUAGCUACUACCGCAUACUAGUAGAUGGACCUGCGUUGUAUUAGCUAGUAGGUAGGGUAAUGGCCUACCUAGGCGACGAUACAUAGACGACGUGAGAGGGUGAUCGGCGACACUGGGACUGAGACACGGCCCCGAUCCCUACGGGAGGCAGCAGUAGGGAAGCUUCGGAAAUGGGGGGAAGCCUUACCAAGCAACGCCGCGGGAGUGAAGAAGGUUUGCGGAUCGUAAAGCUCUGUUGUUAAGGAAGCGGUACUUAACCAGAAAGGGACGGCUAACUACGUGCCAGCAGCCGCGGUAAUAC
rnacentral:rRNA from 1 species